CUUGCAUGGAGGGGUUUUCCACCUUAUCAUCAAUCUCUCUUGUGUAAUAUUUGUUGGAAUUCACCUAGAGCAAGAGUUUGGACCAUGUAAAUUUUUCUGUCCUUGUUUCAUUAUCCUAAAUUGAGAAAAUUCGUAACUAAAUUUUGAAUUUCUUCCCGUUAGUGAGUUAUCUUAUUCUUCCUUUUCAAUUUUUUCCUGUGCAGUAAGGACGGGGCUUAUCUACAUACUCUCAGCUCUUAGUGGAAGUUUGGUAGCUGCUCUGUUUCUUCAAGAUAGGCCAUCAGUUUCUUUGUCUAGUGCGUUAUUUGGAUUGCUUGGUGCAAUGCUAUCUGGGCUUAUCCGGAAUUGGAAAUUUUACUCCAAAAAGGCCCUCGAGAUUGUUGUAUUAGGGGCCUUUUGUUUGCUUUCAUCUUCAAUGAGACUGAUAAUUCAUCUUUCAUUUGUUUGCGGUUUGCUAUACUUGUGGCUUUUACCGUGAGCUUGAUGCUAAAUUUCGUCCUAGGCUUGAUGCAGCAAUAUUUCAAACAUAGGAGGCCUUAUUUCUUGGUUUUUUGCUCUUAUUCAAACCUCGACUGGAGAAAAUAUAUCAAAACAAAGACAGUUUAUUCGAAUAUGAUGUCAAGCAUUCUGUCAAACUUAAGCAGAAGUUAGGCAGACCAGUCUUGAGGAGUAUUUCUCUUGUCAUCUUCAGUCUUCUGGAAGUUUGUGUUCUUUACCCAUUAUUAUUUCAUUUCAUUGGCCUUGCAUGAAAUCUCAAACGCGGCAUCUCUUCAUUAUUCAGACUUGCAGGAGUUAUUGUGGCAGUAGUUCAAGGCAUAAAUGUGAACAAAUAUUGUAUCUGGUGCCAAUUUAUUGACUGUGUUCCAUCCAAAUGAUGAAGCUGCGGUAGCAAAAUGACACAUUGUGAGGUAUAGCAGAAAUGAACUUCUCAAAUAAGCAUGCAUCUCGAACAAAAUAAAUUUAAAAGAAAUUGUGGAAAAUAAUUAAAAAAUUCUCCAAAAACAAUGAAUUGGAUGGCACUAAUUCUACUUGUUUGGGUGCAGACAACGGCAAACUCAGAGCAUUUGACAUUGACAUGUUCUGGCAAUGGCAAGUUCAGUGUUUUCUUUCGUCAGUCUCUCACAAAAAAGGAUUCAGGACCUCUGCUAUCUCAUAUGUUCAUAAACGAUUGUAAGUUGUAUAGGAACAAACAUGAGCAAACACAAAUGUACCAUUAAAUGCUUAUACUUUUGUGGCGUAAUGCAUGUUGUAUAGGAUAGGAUUAAAGAAGAUAGGGAACUGUGUCUGCUGUAGCUAUUGUAUACCAAGAAUGCCUU
rnacentral:lncRNA from 1 species